rnacentral:tRNA from 2 species
GGGCCUGUAGCUCAGCGGGAGAGCACUUGAAUCGCACUCAAGGGGUCGGGGGUUCGAAUCCCCCCAGGUCCA